GCGGACGUAGUGCACGGCGCACGACUGCCUACUGUGAACAUAGAUAGACUGAAUUGCAAGCAGUUCGACGGGGUUCGACUCCCCGCGUCUGCC